GAUGAACGCUAGCGGCAGGCCUAAUACAUGCAAGUCGAGGGGCAUCACGAAUAGCAAUAUUUGGUGGCGACCGGCGCACGGGUGCGUAACACGUAUACAAUCUACCUGUAACAGGGGGAUAGCCCGGAGAAAUCCGGAUUAAUACCCCAUAAUAGUUUCCACAGCAUUGUGGGGAUUUGAAAGUUCCGACGGUUACAGAUGAGUAUGCGCAUGAUUAGCUAGUUGGCGAGGUAAUGGCUCACCAAGGCGACGAUCAUUAGGGGUACUGAGAGGUUAA
rnacentral:rRNA from 1 species